GAAACAUUUUACAAAAUUUGGAUUUUUUUUUUGUAAUUUACCCUUAUAUGUUUGAUAAAAUUUAAUUAAGAUUUGAAAAAUAUAAAACAUUUGCCUGUACCAUGAAAAACCCCAGAUUUCCCGUAUUUUAUCGGCAUGGGAUUUGCUUAGUGUAUCACAUACAUCCCCUGUUAGGGACUCAAGUCCUCGCUAAGAUUUGCCCCACCAUCGUUUAACUUUUUAUGAAAAAUGGCUCUUAUACCAAUUGUAACAUCCCAAUUUUUUAAAAACAAAAUCCAAUAAAUAGAAUCGAUAGUACAUGACUUUUCCCAUACAAAUUCCAUAUAUUCGAUAAAUACAAACAUGAUCUAAAAUAUAUAAUUCUCAAAACAAAUUUGAUAAAUAUUACGAAAUACAAAUUUCACCGAAUACAUAAAAUCCAAAUAAACAAGUUUUCACUGCCGCUCUGACCUAUAAAAAUAACUUAGGAGUAUGCUUUGGUGGGUGAGCUUGAAGUCCAUUGAAUAAUUACAAUCUAUCACUCGCUCAAACCAUGGGAAUGACAUGGCUUAUGCUAGGAACCAAAAAUAUCAACCCUAUUUACCAAAUGAAGUCCACCUCGAUCUUCUCUAUUCUGGUAUCGGAAGAGGAAAAUCGAGAUUUCCUUGUCAAGAAUGGAAUUGGGCGAAAAGCUCCUUCCUCCUCCUUGUCGAGACUGCCUUGACGAGUUGCCCUUCGAAGUCCUCUGAUUCGUCUGCUCGGAGCUUGGAUACCCAUGUAAUUGAUAGCAUGUGGCCCAAUAAUGACCAUUAUGCCAACAGAAGUCGCAGAAAGGACGACCACGGGGCUUGCAAUUGCCCUUGUUCGAGCCGAAAUUAGGGUUAAAGCUACUACCAGUUUCAGUACAGAUCUUGGCCGUAAAACCGAUCGCCUCAGUGUUAGAAUCCCUGCCCUGGCUGAUAAGGCGUUGAGCUUCAUCAUGUGCGGCCAUGGAGUGAGCUUUAUUGACACUCGCAAGUUGAAUUCCAGCAUUGCAAGUACAAGUCGGAAGAUCAAGGCAAAUAUCGGUCUUUAAUUGAUGGAUUCUUGUUUCGUUGCCCUGAGAAAAACGCUACUUAAGGUCGUCCCAAAACGCUUUUGCGUUCCUUGCCCCUACAACAGAGUUCUGCAAGUCUUCAUCCCAGUGAUUGAAAAUCCACGAGACUAACAUUGAAUUACAUGUCACCCACUACUCAUGGAAAUAACCUGAGUACCAUGGCCAUCAAAGGGAGUGAAGACAUAGACAAGUGGUACGCCUCCACUCGAAGUAUUCUGGUCUGUGGCUUUCGACAUGAUGAUGGAUCAGAGAAAAAUGUGAGAGAAAAAAAAUGCAGGAUAGAUUAGAAGCGUGAAGGAAGAUGCUCAGCAAGAAUCGCUGGCAGAUGGAAGCUCGACUAUAUCAGCCGGCAAUGAGGUUGAUCGUGCCGAGUUUGUCGAGGUUCGAGAUUCAUGAGACACACAGGGGAGGCAUACAUUCAAGGUCGGAUUUUUCCGGACUGUAAAGCUUAUAAGCAUGAAAGGCCAUUUUAGAGGGAACAAAACUUUGGCGGUGGAGGAGAAAUAUACGGGGCUAUGGGUUGAAAGGAAGAGUGACACUUGAAAAGCUAUUUCCAAACUCAUCUUCUAUGCACAUAUAUCUAUUUAAAAAUUUCAACAAAUAGUCAUUAAGAAAAUAUGUUGGAUAUGUAUAUAUGCAAUCAUGUAUUAGCACUUAGAAAUUUGAGAUUUGCUUAAAUAUCCAGCAUCUCUUUCGUGUUUUUUUAA